GACGAACGCUGGCGGCGUGCUUAACACAUGCAAGUCGAACGGUACCAAUUUGGUAGUAAUAUCGAAUUGGUAUAGUGGCGGACGGGUGAGUAACGCGUGAGCAAUCUACCUUAGAGUGGGGGACAACAUUCGGAAACGGAUGCUAAUACCGCAUAAGACCACACUGUCUCAUGGCAGAGGGGUCAAAGGAGUAAUCCGCUUUAAGAUGAGCUCGCGUCCCAUUAGCUAGUUGGUGAGGUAACGGCCCACCAAGGCGACGAUGGGUAGCCGACCUGAGAGGGUGAUCGGCCACACUGGAACUGAGACACGGUCCAGACUCCUACGGGAGGCAG
rnacentral:rRNA from 1 species